CACACCAUGAGUACAACGGUGAUCUCUGUAGCUUGAGGUGAACAACUUUUCAGGACAAUCUGGGCAUGCUUGACGUUUUCAAUUUCCGAUGCAGGUAAGGUGUGCUACUCUUGAUACAUGUCUGCUGGAGCAAGUUGUGCAUUUAAUCAAUAUAUGGAAUGUGAAGCAACGUUACACUCGUGAAAAGAAUCAUGACAUCUAUGCAUGGCAUCGAGGGAGAUGAUAUCUACGGCGCAGGUAUUAAGGGUGGCUAUGGUUACGACGACAAGUGUUAUGAUCCAUAUAACGAUGGUGUGAUGAUAGCUUUGCUGAUAUCGGUGAACAUUGGUGAUGAGUCUAGUGGCCUUUCAAGUCAUGCAACAACGCAAGCCGUUCAGCUUUUGGAAAUUUUGGCUUAUGCCAAAUGUUCAGACCAUUAUUUUUCUUUUGCAUUUGACAUUUCCUAGAUGGAUCAUAUACAUUGCGGUGUUACUCUAAAUAUGGUAUACGCUAUUUGGUCAUGUUGUAAUA